rnacentral:rRNA from 1 species
CAGCACCUCAAGUGGUCAGGAUGAUUAUUGGGCCUAAAGCAUCCGUAGCCGGCUCUGUAAGUUUUCGGUUAAAUCUGUACGCUCAACGUACAGGCUGCCGGGAAUACUGCAGAGCUAGGGAGUGGGAGAGGUAGACGGUACUCGGUAGGAAGGGGUACAAUCCUUUGAUCUAUUGAUGACCACCUGUGGCGAAGGCGGUCUACCAGAACACGUCCGACGGUGAGGGAUGAAAGCUGGGGGAGCAAACCGGAUUAGAUACCCGUGUAGUCC